UACGGUAGGAUGCAAGCGUUUGUUCGGAAUUACUGGGCGUAAAGAGUACGUAGGCGGUAUGGUAAGGUCUGAUAUUAAAGACUGAGGCUUGAACCUCAGGACUGGUAUCGGAAACUGCCAAACUAGAGGACAUAGAGGAAGUCGGAAUUCUCAGUGUAGCGGUGAAAUGCGUAGAGUAUUGGGAAGAACACCAGUGGCGAAAGCGGACUUCAUGGGUUGUUACUGGACGCUGAGGUACGAAAGCCGUGGGGAGCAAACGGG
rnacentral:rRNA from 1 species